UGAAGAGCAAAUGGGCAUCGACCAAGAUGGAGCUGUCACAGUGCACCAAGAUCUGACAACACAUGCCACUGCCUUUGUUAUCAAUGCCCGAUCCAAGCAUCGUCUGUCACAGAAAGGCAUGAAUGACAUUGUUGCUGGGGUACAGCAGUAUCAAUCAUCACUAUUGGACAACCUCAGGACGCAGAUGAAGGAAGUUCUAAAGAAGAAUUCAGGAAGUACAACCAAUCAACUUGGAAAAGAUGCAAUGGAUAUAUUUGACAGUUUCAUUGACCCCUUUGCUAACGUUUCAACAACAUUUCGCCAGAACAGUGUUAUUAGGAAGCAGUUUUGUUGUGUGGAUGCAGAGGAAAUUCCAAUUGCUCGAACCAUAUGCAGGAAGAAACGUGGAGGAUCAACAGAUUUUGUCAUCAAAGACAAAUUAUUUUAUUAUGUACCAUUAGUCAAAAGUGUAGAGCAGUUCCUAUUACAUCCGAGGAUUUUGACUAUGAUUGAAGAGGUACCCCAGAGGUGCAGUGAAGGUUUUCUUCAUGACCUUGUUGAUGGUUCUCUUUUAAAAUCUCAUCCCUUAUUUUCAGAGAAACCAAAUGCAC